rnacentral:rRNA from 1 species
UACGAAGGGGCUAGCGUUGUUCGGAGUUACUGGGCGUAAAGGGCGCGUAGGCGGCGCAUCAAGUCAGGCGUGAAAGCCCUGGGCUCAACCCGGGAAUUGCGCUUGAGACUGGUGUGCUUGAGUACGGGAGAGGAUAGUGGAAUUCCCAGUGUAGAGGUGAAAUUCGUAGAUAUUGGGAAGAACACCGGUGGCGAAGGCGGCUAUCUGGACCGUAACUGACGCUGAGGCGCGAAAGCGUGGGAGCAACAGG